rnacentral:ncRNA from 2 species
AAAUCAAUUAUUCUCCGAGCCCGGGUACCUUCAUUGCAAUAUCGUAGUGGUGGUUGCGGGACGCCAGGGUGUGGCGGGAAACUGCCAUGCCUCCCAUUGUGGAAAGGGGAUUAUUUUAUUCUAAG